rnacentral:rRNA from 1 species
UACAGAGGUCCCAAGCGUUGUUCGGAUUCACUGGGCGUAAAGGGCGCGUAGGCGGCGAGGUAAGUCGGAUGUGAAAGCUCGGAGCUCAACUCCGAAAUGGCAUUGGAAACUACCUUGCUCGAGGGUUGGAGGGGGGACUGGAAUUCUCGGUGUAGCAGUGAAAUGCGUAGAUAUCGAGAGGAACACCAGUGGCGAAGGCGAGUCCCUGGACAACUCCUGACACUGAGGCACGAAAGCUAGGGGAGCAAACAGG